CUGACUGCUUUGAACUGCGUGAAGCGCUUUAGCCAAGCCCAGUGUGUUGGAUUUAAAUGGUCCAGUUUUGACACAUUUGCUUUGCUCAACCGAGUAUCUGCGUUAAGGUAUAACCACUCUUGGCGCAGAGCCUGUUGUUUAGAACACGAAACAAAUUGACUUCUCCUCCCCCAAGUCUUUGCCUUUUUGUAAUUUGCUCUGGCGUUGUUGUUUGUGUGUGACCAGCUCUGGGAUUUCACCUCGUCCUGGAGAGACCAGCGCAAAUCAACCCGAAUAAAACAUCCCGACCCUGUUCACCUCUCCCGGAGGGUCGUUUUCCUUCGAGACACGUGGACGAAGUCGUACACAGCAUUAGGGACCGAAGAGACGCAGCCUGUAUAGAGGGACUCAGACAGGGUGGGAGGAGAUCCCAGCAGGGUUCAUCUGCUCACCAAUGGGUUUGUGGUCUGAAGACAAGCAGCACUCAUCUCUUUCACAUCCUUUAUAGGUAUAAGCCAACACAAGGACAAAACUUUCACCAGAAGGAGCCUCGACUGACUGACUGUUCAGCGCAAUCCCGCCACACAUUCACACUCUCUACAGGAGGAAUGAAGACAGGUGAAGCUGAAGACAGG